rnacentral:rRNA from 1 species
GACGAACCGUGCGAACGUUAUUCGGAAUCACUGGGCUUAAAGCGCGUGUAGGCGGAUGAGCACGUCUGUCGCUGAAAUCCCCCGGCUCAACCGGGGAACGGGCGCGGAUACGGCUCGUCUCGAGGGGCGUAGGGGGACCUGGAACUUCCGGUGGAGCGGUGAAAAUGCGUAGAUAUUGGGAGGAACACCAGUGGCGAAGGCGGCUCACUGGACCGGAACUGACGCUGAGGCGCGAAAGCGGUGGGGAGCAAACAGG